GAGUUUGAUCGUGGCUCAGGAUGAACGCUGGCGGCGUGCUUAACACAUGCAAGUCGAACGAAGCGCCUUAUUUGAUUUUCUUCGGAACUGAAGAUUUGGUGACUGAGUGGCGGACGGGUGAGUAACGCGUGGGUAACCUGCCCUGUACAGGGGGAUAACAAUCAGAAAUGACUGCUAAUACCGCAUAAGACCACAGCACCGCAUGGUGCAGGGGUAAAAACUCCGGUGGUACAGGAUGGACCCGCGUCUGAUUAGCUGGUUGGUGAGGUAACGGCUCACCAAGGCGACGAUCAGUAGCCGGCUUGAGAGAGUGAACGGCCACAUUGGGACUGAGACACGGCCCAAACUCCUACGGGAGGCAGCAGUGGGGAAUAUUGCACAAUGGGGGAAACCCUGAUGCAGCAACGCCGCGUGAGUGAAGAAGUAUUUCGGUAUGUAAAGCUCUAUCAGCAGGGAAGAAAGUGACGGUACCUGACUAAGAAGCCCCGGCUAACUACGUGCC
rnacentral:rRNA from 1 species